rnacentral:lncRNA from 1 species
AUUAAAACAGGCUUCAUCACACAAGUAAAUAAAGAAUUGACAAUUAAAAGUACACUAAGAUUAAAAAUAUAUUAAAAAAAACUAUUGGCUCCAAGAGAGCCUAAAUAAUGGAUCUUCUUAUACAUAAGAGUCACUACAAUGUACAAAAAGCUAUAUCUAACAAAGUAUAAAGCACAUAACUCUAUAUUUUGCCCUACACUUCACAAGGGCAUCUUCAUAAUGCCAGGAAGGUCAUUGCACCUCUUGAGCCAGACAGAAAACUUGUACAACUCGGGAUUCUUACUGAUGAGAUUUUCCAUAUUUUGCUCCCUCCAGCACUAUAGAGAUGACAAGAAGCAUGUGUUAUUUGCAGCACACUUUCUUUCUCGGUGGCCUACUAGGAAGCUGGCCUUUCUAUGUCUAAACUACAUCACCAUUGCCACAAUCAAGUCAUCUGAUGCUGCAACCCACUUUAGGACAUUUGCACAUUGAGAGAGUACAAUUACAGCACAUCACCAUUGCCACAAUCAAGUCAACUGAUACUGCAAUCCUCUUUUGGUCAUUCGCGCAUUGAGAGAGUACAAUUACAGGUAAAAUGAGCAUCAAGCUCCUGUUUCCUUCUAUCAGCAGCCUGAAACGCGUAUCAAGCUCCAGCCCCAUUGCUUAGUUUGAGGGUCAUCUUGAUGUUCAUGGCUGCCAGUUCA